ACCGCGGGUAGCACCGUUGCGGGGCACGCCCAUUGCCCCAACAGCGGACUUGCCUGCGGAAGA
rfam:Trypanosoma theileri isolate Edinburgh TM35_Tth_83_V1, whole genome shotgun sequence.